rnacentral:rRNA from 1 species
GUCCUAGCCGUAAACGAUGCACAUUAGACGUGAGGGGUAUCGACCCCCUUCGUGUCGACGCUAACGCAUUAAAUGUGCCGCCUGGGGAGUACGGCCGCAAGGUUGAAACUCAAAGGAAUUGACGGGGGCCCCGCACAAGCGGUGGAGCAUGUGGUUUAAUUCGACGCAACGCGAAGAACCUUACCUAGGCUUGAACUGUUAGAAGUAGAACUAACGAAAGUAUGGACGACCUGUCAAAUCAGGAACUAACAGAGGUGCUGCAUGGCUGUCGU